CGCCUGUUUAACAAAAACAUUUCUUUUAAUAUUUAAAAGUAGGCCCUGCUCAAUGAAUUAAAUAGCUGCAGUAUUUUAACUGUGCAAAGGUAGCAUAAUAAUUUUCUCUUUGAUUUGGAGGUUGGAUGAAAGGGUUAACUGAUAUUUACUGUGUUUAUGUUUUAUUAUAAUUUUAUAAAAAAGUUAAAAUUCUUUUUAGUUCUAAAGGGACGACAAGACCCUGGAAACUUAAAAGUUUGAGAAUUCUUGUUUAGCUGGGGCGGUUUUUAAUAAAAACAUUAAAUUUGCAACAUUUGUUUGGUUUUUAUAAUCAUAGUUUAGACAAUUAGUUUAAGUUACUCCAGGGAUAACAGCGUAAUUAUAUUAAAGAGUUCAUAUCGAAGAUUAUAGUUGCGACCUCGAUGUUGAAUUAAGUGAUCUUUUUGAUGGAGAAGGUAGGAGAAGAGAGUUUGUUCAACUCUUAAUUACUUACAUGAUCUGAGUUCAGACCGGAC
rnacentral:rRNA from 1 species